CUAAAGCCACCAUUAACAUUGUUGUGGAUUACAAACUGAUAUUUCCUCUUUUAAUGAACCUUUUAAGUUUAUUUUAGCUGCAGGUGUCUUGAAAUAUCUCCCCACAACAGGCAAGUGAGAGAGAUAGGACUAACUAUGUAUUCAAGAUCAGCAGCAAGAGGAUUUCUAGCUUUCCUCCUGUCAUUACCAGGUUGGUACCUUUGCAUUACACACGUUGAAUUUUCCCAAAGCUUUUGCACUUAUAUUAUUUAAAGCUUUAUGUAACCUACUCAGUCGAUUAAUAAUUGAUAUAACUUUGAAUAACCUUCAAGUACAAACAAAGAAUGUUGAAGAAUGGCAGAUAUUACUAGAAUAGGUUUGGUGUGUUGAAUAAUUUCAAAUGUUUUUACGCUUUUUUGGUUUAAAAAAAUAUUUAUGGAUUUAAAUUGAUUUAUGUGAAGCAUUUACUAACUUUAUCGACAAAUCGAAGAUUUAGGAAGUAGGAUAGAAAUCUAAAAUACGGCAAUAUACUGUACAUAUACUAUUUUGUCAUUUGUAAAACAAUGUGAAUAUCUAUCUUGAAUCAUUUCAUAUCAUAACAAAAAAAAAAUUGUACAACAUGAACAUUUAUAAUAGUGGGCGGAGACACUGUUUUUCUUAAUUAGGAAAUGACCUUCCCUUGCUCCAUCAAUAGCCCACCCACGCUUGUGCCAGAUUUUUUAUGUUGAAUUUCACUAAGACAUGGAUCUCACUUUACAUCUGUAAAUGACAGAUCUCCCUGCUCGGUUAGGUAUCACCAGCUGUUUAGCUAGCUUUAACAGUAGCUCUAUCACUAGCUGUGUCACUAGCUCUAUUACCAGCUGUCUCGCUUGCUCUGUCGCUGGCUGUAUCACUAGCUCCAUCACUAGCUGUAUAAUGUUGGUCUCAUUAUGUUCUUGAACGUUCCUCUCACAGCUCAGUGGUCCGCAUGUAUCUGUAGUUUCAAGCUCCACCUAACAGCCUCCAUUUCUUUGUGUAUCUUGUGAUCAUGCAUUUCAUCAGUUGAGCCUCUGUAUAUUGUUCAAUUCUCAAUGACAUGUGUUUCUUCUUUCUUUUUCAGCGCUACAGGGUAAAAUUGGUUGGGCAGUUACUUACACAUCUAGUAAUAUCAGCGCCUUAAGAGGAUCAACAGUUAAUAUCAGCUGUAUCUAUAAAUACCCUUACGGCCGAUAUUUCCGCCCUACCAAAGUCACAACACUGUGGUUUACUAAAGGAGAGAUCGAGCUGCCAGUUAACCUGAAACAUGAUGCUGACUAUGCAGGACGUGUUGAAUACAGCGAUGGAGAGAUAAGCUGUAACUGGUUCAGUUGUAAGGGAACUUGUACUCUGCGAAUCAAAGACCUGACACAGAGUGACUCUGCUGAGUAUAAGUUCAUGUUCAUAACAAACAUAGAAGGAGGGAAAUUUACUGGUGACCCUGGAGUCAUGCUAUCUGUCACAGAGACAUCGCCUUCUUCAUCAUCACUGACAACAUCAGUCAAUGUCAGAAUCGUUGUGGUUUCAUUGGCCACAGUACUCCUUGUUUUUCUUUUCAUUAGAAGAAAAAGGGCCGACAGAGAAGCAUCGGGCCAGGGGAAAGCAGCAGAGAAGGUUGGCGAGGUGGAGGAGGAGCAGAGGGACAGAACUUAAGACUUUUGACUCAACCAUCAUUUUACUAAUCCUCCCACUAGAAGAAGUCUCACCAUGCCAGACACUGUGUGGGAUCUGUGUUGACCCAAACGUAAGCUGAUGUAUAAGACUAAAGUAACAUGGUACAGGACCUGUUCCUACCCUUCCCUGUGGUCACCAGAUAAUGGUAUGGGUCAUUCUAUGUUCCUCCCCUAUGGUCACCAGAUGACGGCAGACAGAAUCGGAUUUCAGAGGCCAGCAUGUUUUGUUUCCCUGGCAACUCUAGGCUGCGUGAAAACACACAGAUGUUAAUAUCAGUCACCAAAAGGGUUGACAAAUUAACCAAAAACCAAAAUGUACUCUUGUUUCCUCUCUCCUGCUCAGACACUUCCUGUUUCUGUGUAUGAAAAUAAUUCUGACCCAUAGCUCCGCCCCUUCAGCACAGAGAGAACCAAUAGAGCUUCAGGAGCUGCCUUGUCCAAUCAGAUCAGAGACAGCAGGUCCUGUACUCUGUGGUGAACUGUAAAAGACACAAAACAAAUCAAAUCAAAUCAAAUUUAUUGUCAUUUGGUUGAUUGAAAAACAAAACGAGAAGGCGUUUCUCCGGGAUCAAGAUCAAGUACACAUACAUUUCAAACAAAUCCCAAUGAUGAAUAAAUAAAUAAAUAAUAAAUAAAGUCCAGUGAGAAGAUCUAGGACGCUGGUGCAUUGAGCAUCCUGACAGCUUGAGGCAGGAAGCUGUUCUGCAGCCUGGUGGAGCAUCUUAAGCUGCGAUAGCGCUUCUGUGAGGGUAGGAGCUGAAAGAAGCUGUUCAGAGGGUGAGAGGGGUCUCUCACUAUUUUCUGGGCCCUAUUCCUGCAGCGGCUUAGGAAUAUGUCCUGGACAGAGGGAAGUGAGGCUCCAAUGACCUUUUCCGCUGAUCUCACCACUCUUUGCAGGGCCUUUUUGUCCGCCACACUGCAGCUGGAGAACCAGGUAGAGAUGGCGUACGUCACAACGCUGUGGCUGAGUAAGCCUCUCUUGGGAUUUCUAUAGAGUUUGGGGACUUCAGCCUCCCAGGGUGACUAAGGCUAAUUUAUUUUUUCAAGAUAAAAUUACAAGACAGAUAAAGAAAGCAUAUCAGCAUUGUACACCAUAUCCAAUUAUACACUGCAUAGUGGUAGGCUACAUAGCCUGAAGCUUUGGCUGGAAAGGUCCUCAUUCAACCAUAGAAGGAAGUCCACCUGAAUGAGUUAGCCUUCUUUUAGCAAUAAUAAUAAAGCUAUACCUAGUGGUCAACCUGCAAGAGUUAGCCUACUGUCAGCUCUGAUGCUAAAAAAGAGAAUUGCUUUAGGUCUGACAUGGAGAACCGUAUGCAGUGAGGUUUUCUUCUAGCUACGACAGCUAUGUGAUGGUUUUCUGCAUAGUGCUUCAUUUCUUUAUGUGCUAAAUAUCUCCCACCACAGACUCUUGAUUGUUUAUGUUCCUCUCUUAUUAACUUCUCAUAACUUAACAUAAAGAUUGUGACAUUUACAUGUUAACAUUGUUGCUGCCAGAUUUCUAAGCCAGUAUUUCGAAUUCUACAACAUGGGCCUUUCAGACUGUUACUGUUAUUAAGAGCAAUACCAAUAAAUGAUUUUUCAGUGUCGACAGACAGACUAUUAAUUUGUAUUACAAUUGAUUUGCUGUUAAUUGUAAAGGUGCAUUUUACCCACUACAGAUAUUCAGAGAGUUAAGGUUGAAGUGAUCAGUUAAAAAUAAUACACAUGCUUAGAGAUAAGUACCAGGGUGAGGUAGUUCUCUAAGGAAAGGAACACAUAUUGUUCUACUCAGGCCACUUCCAUAUUAACCAUA